rnacentral:tRNA from 1 species
GUGUUUGUGACGCAAUUGGUAGCGCAAUCGGCUUUUAAUCGAUAAGUUGCAGGUUCAAGCCCUGUCAGACACAC